AUACGGAGGGUGCAAGCGUUAAUCGGAAUUACUGGGCGUAAAGCGCACGCAGGCGGAUUAGACAGUUGAGGGUGAAAUCCCGGAGCUUAACUCCGGAACUGCCUUCAAUACUACUAAUCUUGAGUUCGGAAGAGGUGAGUGGAAUUCCUAGUGUAGAGGUGAAAUUCGUAGAUAUUAGGAAGAACAUCAGUGGCGAAGGCGACUCACUGGUCCGAUACUGACGCUGAGGAGCGAAAGCAUGGGUAGCGAAGAGGAUUAGAUACCCUCGUAGUCCAUGCCGUAAACGAUGUGUGCUAGACGUUGGAAAUAUAUUUUUCAGUGUCGCAGCGAAAGCAUUAAGCACACCGCCUGGGGAGUACGACCGCAAGGUUAAACUCAAAUGAAUUGACGGGGACCCGCACAAGCGGUGGAGCAUGUGGUUUAAUUCGAUGCAACGCGAAAAACCUU
rnacentral:rRNA from 1 species